AGAUGGGAGGGUGGUCUGCCUAGGGUAUCUGCGGUACCAUUGAUCACCAGGUCUGAGUCGGCUUGAUCUGGAUGGAUGGGCAGAGUGUCCUCUUUCUCCUUCACUAUCCCAUGCAUGUUCCCCCUACAGCUAUGCACUGAGAGCAUGGCCUUCCCUACAGGGAAGAACUGCUCCAUGGGCAAGGAUAUGUAAGCACCAUGCACCCCAUCCAGAACCUCCAAGUAGCUCUCAGGAUCAGGAACACGAUAUGCUGAGUCUCACCUCCCCUAGUCAACACUGCUCUAGGACUCCUAGACAAAGCA
rnacentral:snRNA from 1 species